rnacentral:rRNA from 1 species
AUUGAACGCUGGCGGCAUGCCUUACACAUGCAAGUCGAACGGCAGCACGGGAGCAAUCCUGGUGGCGAGUGGCGAACGGGUGAGUAAAGUAUCGGAACGUGCCCAGUCGUGGGGGAUAACGUAGCGAAAGUUACGCUAAUACCGCAUACGAUCUAUGGAUGAAAGCGGGGGAUCGCAAGACCUCGCGCGAUUGGAGCGGCCGAUAUCAGAUUAGGUAGGUGGUGGGGUAAAGGAUCACCAGGCCGACGAUCUGUAGCUGGUCUGAGAGGACGAACAGCCACACUGGGACUGAGACACGGCCCAGAAUCCUACGGGAGGCAGCAGUGGGGAAUUUUGGACAAUGGGCGAAAGCCUGAUCCAGCCAUGCCGCGGGCAGGAUGAAGGCCUUCGGGUUGUAAACUGCUUUUGUACGGAACGAAAAGGUUUGGCCUAAUAAGCUGAGCUCAUGACGGUACCGUAAGAAUAAGCACCGGCUAACUACGUGCCAGCCGCCGCAGUAA